rnacentral:ncRNA from 1 species
UUAAAUUGCAGAUAGGGACUCCUUAUGCUGUAUAUCUGUGGUAUUGAAUUAACGUUUAAGCGACCUGUAAGCUCGCCAGCCACAGAGCCACCGCAAGGUGGUUUUUUUAUGA